UUGGAUUAGUGAAGUUGACUUGGAUAA
rnacentral:piRNA from 1 species